GAUGAACGCUGGCGGCGUGCUUAACACAUGCAAGUCGAACGAUGAAGCCCAGCUUGCUGGGUGGAUUAGUGGCGAACGGGUGAGUAACACGUGAGUAACCUGCCCUUAACUCUGGGAUAAGCCUGGGAAACUGGGUCUAAUACUGGAUAGGAGCGCCUACCGCACGGUGGGUGUUGGAAAGAUUUAUCGGUUUUGGAUGGACUCGCGGCCUAUCAGCUUGUUGGUGAGGUAAUGGCUCACCAAGGCGACGACGGGUAGCCGGCCUGAGAGGGUGACCGGCCACACUGGGACUGAGACACGGCCCAGACUCCUACGGGAGGCAGCAGUGGGGAAUAUUGCACAAUGGGCGAAAGCCUGAUGCAGCGACGCCGCGUGAGGGAUGACGGCCUUCGGGUUGUAAACCUCUUUCAGUAGGGAAGAAGCGAAAGUGACGGUACCUGCAGAAGAAGCACCGGCUAACUACGUG
rnacentral:rRNA from 1 species